rnacentral:lncRNA from 1 species
UGUAUCUUUGUAUCCUGCAACUUAGCCCCUCUCAAAAUUGAAACUGGUAAGUCUUUUCAUCUCCUUUCCGGUAUCUGCUUCUUCUCUCUCGUGUUUAUUCUUCUUCUUUCCCAUUGAAUUUCUGUUUUUCAUUUUCUUAUUUUUGGGGAAUUCUUUCUCCAUUCCUUCUCUGUCCGUUUCACUGAUUUAUAGGUAAUGGACAUUUGGUAAAUGGGUAAUGAACUUGGUUCAAUCAGCAAUGAAAAUUGUGCAAAAAAAAUACUUUCUUAUGUUGGAUGGGUUCUUUGGUGAUGAAGUUUGUUUAAAAUUUGUGCAUGCAUGUCAAUGCUAUGUUUGCCCUUUAAUGUACUGAGGGUAUUCGAUAGUGUGCCUAAUUCAACUUUUUUUUUUCCUUCUUUAAUUGUGCAUUUAUAGAUAAGUAGUAAUUUCUAUUCUAUAUUUUAGAAGUCAUUCUUAAUGGUCAUACGGCUAAAAUGAUGAUUAAAAUUGAAGACCAGUAAUGUAGAGUAGGAGAAGUGCACGAGAGAGAAUAAGUUUGUGGAUAGCAUGUAUACAUGUUGACUUCUUUAAUAAAAAACUGGGAGGUGGCCUCUAUUUUGCAAAUUAUCCCUAAAAUUCAUCAUAUAUAUAGGAAUUUUUUGUGAGGCACUCAACAUUUUAAGUAUUUCUCGAGUUGUAACUUCUGAAAAGGAAAAGGAACUUUUGAUGUACAAAGUCCUAUUAUCGCGCUAUUUCUCUCUUAUUUCGGUUACUUCAUCGUUAUUGAGCUCACUAACUAUUGUUCUUGAACCAGUAAGGUUCAGUUGCCUGAGGUAAAUAAGACUUUGUUCAGCAGUAAUUUUAAAAGGCUCCAAAUACUGCCGCAACCAUACUCAGAAUGCAGUUCCACAUUGCUUCGUUAGGGUAAACAUUUGCGUGUUACUUUCUUUUUUAGUCUGCUAAAAACGAAUGUCUCUUUCUAAUUCACUAACUAUUAAAUUCUUCUACAUGACAUGUUUAAGACCACAAAGUUCAUAUGACUUUUGGUGUAUUACACGCAUAUUUAGUUUAAAAUCAUAAAAUUUGAAAGUCGUCCUUAUUUUCUUGAACUCCGCCUCCAGACAAGACAAACUAUGAUACAUAAAUAAAAAUGAUGGAUUAAUGAUUUUUGCCUUGUUUCACAUACAGAGUUUCUUUAUGUUCUUACUGAAUUUGCUUUGUACCUGAUACUGUUUUGCUUCUUUGUAGUGUUGGAUAUGUGCCUUUUACCUUCGCUUCAAGUAGUAGAAAUCGUACUAAAAAGCAAGCACACCUAAUAUGACAUUGAGAGGCUUCUGUUAAAUGAUUAGUUGGAGCUGAAUGCCCUAGAGUCGUAUCUUGUGUUCAUAUUAUCGCGUUGGUUGCUAGAGAUGCAUUUCUGAUUACAGCAAGUGAAAGCUCAAUAAAAUAAAUUAUGAACUUCUUGAACAACCUAAUUUUGUGUUAAUUAAGACCACUGAUAGUUUAUGAGAGGCAAUGAAAUGCGUCAAGCUCAGGAUGGUCUUUAAGUAUUCUGCCUUUUAUGUAUCUAAUUAUCUUCGUGUUUUUGUUGAUGUCGCUAGCAUGAUUGGAAGGUCCUUUUUGAAAUGUGUCAACCGAUAGAAGAAAUGUAACAAUAUCAAAUGUCUCAGAAGCCAUUGUUGACAUCCCAGUUCCAAAAGAUGUCAAAUUAUAAUUAUGUCCACCGACAAUAGAAGAUGCAGAUGAUCAUUCCAAAUCUAAUAUAGUGUAUGAGGAGAUCAUUCAAAAUGCAUUCACAUGAAAUCCUAACUUCUCUAUCAUUCGGAAGAAAAUCUACUAAACCAAAAAAGCCACCAAAUGUUUUCCAGUAAAAGCUAUUAGAAGACUCCGCACUACGUAACAAGGUUAGUGAAGCUUACACCCCAUUGUUAGAACUUAAAAUAGCACUUUUGAAGGAGUAGAACGAUUUUUUUUCAAAAUGAGAAAUCUUCAAGUUUUUAAAAUGUCUUGCCCAUAUAUUUGUCCGAUUAAAUAGAAUACUUACUUGAUUUUAAAGUUGAUUCAAAUUUUUUGUUUUAGGGUGAUAGAGGUCAAGAAUGAUGACACUCAUAGUAAAAGUUUGAUCUCAAAGUAUAUUUUCUAAUUUGUUGGUGUGAUUUAGUUCUUAAAUUGAGAAGUUUAAAGGUUCAUAGACCCUGACAUGAGUGCUACAAUAAAAAGUAUAUUUCCAUGUUGUUGGUAUUCUAUGUUAAUAGAAACUUCUCCCGCUGAGUUUACAGGUAGCUUCAUGUUCCCUAUCAAUAAAAAGGACUCAAUUGGAUAUGGUAGGUGAUUUACAUGAUCUAUAAUGAUAUUUAGUGGAAAUCAGUUUUCUCUUCUUUCACACAUAAAUGAUUGUGUCUUGAGGGGACAAGCUAAUUUCUUAAAUCAUUAUUGCCGUGUAAAUAUUUGUCACCUGAAUGAUUCUAAUUGAAAUAAAGCAGCAUUGUUGGUAAAAUAAAACUUUAACACUGCAACAAAGAGUAGUACAAAUAGUAGCCUAAAGUGUAUAAACAAGAUCAUUUUUGGAGAUAUUUUUAAUUCACUUGCAGCUCUUCCACGAUGACAUCUGUUAACAGGCGUGGAGUGGAGUGAGCAACAACUAAUUGUCUUUGUAGUUUCAUGUUGUUAGUGUUUUGUGGUGAUAGAAACUUCUCCUCUCAAGUUUGGAGGUUAGCUUCAUGUUCCCUAUCGAUGAAAAAGACUCAAUCAAUUAUUCACGUGGAUCAAAAAUUUGUACCAUAUGCAUUACCGAUAAUAUGGACGAACAAGUGCAUUGUUAUAAUUUUAUAGGAACGAGAUGUGUUAAACUUGAUUCUUCUCAGAAAGUCACAUGUAUUUACUUGAAACACGUGUCUCGCCACCUUUUCCUUUGAUGUUUAAUCUCUCUCUCACUCAAUAUCCAUCUUUUCAGAAGAAAAACUUAUAUGGAGCUUUGAAUUUCUUCGGUAUAUGUUUGUUUCUGGUUACAUGUCCAUGCAUUUUCAGAUUUUCGUUAUUCACUUCCUCCCUGAUUUUCUAUUAUUUUAUGCCCGUAUUCUUCUUCAGACCUAGAUUCCCAAUCUCGAGAUAUUAUCUCCCUUCAUCUAAAAUUUCUGAAGGAGUGGAUUCUUUCGCAUAAUACUAAAAAAAUUAGUAGUUUUACGGUUGAGUUUGUUCUUUAAUCUCUUUUUGAUUUUUUUUAAACUAAAAGCCUCUAACUACUGGAUCAAGCGCACUGGUAAUGGACUGACAGUAAGAUUUUCCCCUCUAUUUGUUAGUAUAACUUAUACAUUCAUUAUACAUAGUUUGUUUUUUAUUUACCAAUUAAUUCCUUUUAAGCUUCCUAUUUAUUUUGCUUUCUUUUGAUAAGAUUCUCAGGUUGAGGUUUGAUGCUAUCUCUGUUAUGAUAGAAACGUGCAAAUGCAAUUCCAUAUAUAAAUAAGCUGGUGACCUUUUUUUUCAAAAGGUAUCUUUAUUCCUUCUGUGUUUCUCCUUCUUAAUGUAUUCCGUUAAAUUUGAUAAAUUUUUCUUAUGUUUUCUUGAGAUACACGUCGUUUGAAGAUUUCCACUUUUAUGAAAUUAUUUUAAUAAUAGCUGGAUAGAGGGCUCCGGGUUAUACUAAUAUUAAGUUAGCUAUUUUUAUGAGUAGAAUUUCACAUUUGAUUAAUUGACUGAAUAUGUUUUCUAUCAUGUUAGAUAUACCAAAAUACUUUGUCAUGUAAGGCUCAACUAUCCAAAGAAAGAGGGACAUCAAAAGAAAAGGAAAAAAAAAGAUCUGCUUGAAUUUGAAGGUUAAUGGGAACCACCAAUAUUUGUGCAAUGAUAUGAUUGUAUAUAUCUUGAAAUCAAAUAGCUUAAGCAAUAGGAUGGAACAUAUCAUACUUGAUAGUACUUCCUCUUAGAAUUGCUCAGACUGUUUCAAAACUUAGCUAAAGUUUUCUCAGUAGUGUUAUAAUAAUUUUUGAUACAUUGAACUCACAAAGUGUAGUGGAACUUCAUUAUUAGUUUUAAUAUCUAAAUCAAGGAUAUAUUUAAUUGAUACUGAACAAAACAUGUUGAUUAAAUAUACGUUGAGCAACUUUAUACGUCUACAGUAAACAUAGAAAACUCUUUUGUGCUAAAUAAACUAUUUACUGAAGGUCGUUAGUUUGUAC